GGUCUGGCGGCGAGUGGCGAACGGGUGAGUAAUGUAUCGGAACGUGCCCAGUAGCGGGGGAUAACUACUCGAAAGAGUAGCUAAUACCGCAUACGCCCUACGGGGGAAAGGGGGGGAUCGCAAGACCUCUCACUAUUGGAGCGGCCGAUAUCGGAUUAGCUAGUUGGUGAGGUAAAGGCUCACCAAGGCGACGAUCCGUAGCUGGUUUGAGAGGACGACCAGCCACACUGGGACUGAGACACGGCCCAGACUCCUACGGGAGGCAGCAGUGGGGAAUUUUGGACAAUGGGGGCAACCCUGAUCCAGCCAUCCCGCGUGUGCGAUGAAGGCCUUCGGGUUGUAAAGCACUUUUGGCAGGAAAGAAAUCGCAUGGAUUAAUACUCUGUGUGGAUGACGGUACCUGCAGAAUAAGCACCGGCUAACUACGUGCCAGCAGCCGCGGUAAUACGUAGGGUGCAAGCGUUAAUCGGAAUUACUGGGCGUAAAGCGUGCGCAGGCGGUUCGGAAAGAAAGAUGUGAAAUCCCAGGGCUUAACCUUGGAACUGCAUUUUUAACUCCCGAGCUAGAGUGCGUCAGAGGGGGGUGGAAUUCCGCGUGUAGCAGUGAAAUGCGUAGAUAUGCGGAGGAACACCGAUGGCGAAGGCAGCCCCCUGGGAUGACACUGACGCUCAUGCACGAAAGCGUGGGGGGCAAACAGGAU
rnacentral:rRNA from 1 species